rnacentral:rRNA from 1 species
GACGAACGCUGGCGGCGGGCUUAACACAUGCAAGUCGAACGGAAAGGCCCUGCGUGUGUGGGGUUCUCGAUUGGCGAACGGGGGAGUAACACGUAAGUAACCGGCCCUUGACUUUGGGAUAACUUCAGGAAACUGGGGCUAAUAUAGGAUAGGAUCCCCCGCUGCAUGGUGGGGGUUGGAAAGUUUCGGCUGUUGGGGAUGGACGCGCGGCUUAUCAGCUUGUUGGUGGGGUAGUGGCUUACCAAGGCUUUGACGGGUAGCCGGCCUGAGAGGGUGACCGGCCUCCUUGGGCCUGAGAUACGGCCCAGACUCCUACGGGAGGCAGCAGUGGGGAAUAUUGCACAAUGGGAGGACGCCUGAUGCAGCAACGCCGCGGGCGGGAUGCCGGCCUUCGGGUUGUAAACCGCUUUAGCCUGAGACGAAGCGUGAGUGACGGUACUGGGUAAAGAAGCACCGGCUAACUACGUG